GCCAUACUCGGCUGUUCGGCCGUACCUGACUCUGCUCCGCGGUGCAAUGGCGGCCGGUGGCAGGGCGCCGCUCCCCGGCCUGAGCCCCGUGAGGGGACAGAGCGCUGGGACAGCCGCCUCAGCCCGGGUCACCCAGUCCCUGCCCGCCCCCGCGUCCCCCGGAGCGCGCCCUGCAGCGCAGAACGCGGCCUGGGAGCCAGGAGCGGGGACAAUCCCCUCGGCUCGGCAGCAGCGCCGGGAGGCAGCGGGCGGUGCCCUCAGUGAGCCAGGGCUGGCACAGGGAAUCGUGCAGGUGCUGGUCUGGCACCGGAGCUGCUGCCCUUUGGAGCCAUUUUAAAGGCUGUCCUUGCUGGAGCACCCUGGUCCCUGCCAGGGCCAAGCCCUGAGGCACAGAGGGAGCCCUGUCCCAAGUGGCCUUUGGCACCUUGUCAGGAAUGUGGCAGCAGCCCCGGGAGCAGCUGGAGGAGAAAACCUCCCAGCAGAGACAGAUUGCAAUGGAGGCCAGAGUUGUGUUUGGAGCAGGGAGUGCUGAGAGCUGCGUCUGCCUGUGCUGCCACAGCCUGACCACAGGCACAUGGAACAGCCUGGGAAAAGGGAUUGGGGGCAUUUCUGAUGCCCCAGUGAGAAGAACACAAACUCACAGCCAUUCAGCCUGACAGUCCCCUCCACCCAGAGCUCAGCACACAUCCUCAGAGGUAAGUCCAGCAUCUGAAGGAUAAAAAAAAACCACAGAAGAAAAAGCAGCCAGCAGGGAAGGGAGAAGAGGAUCCCUGUGGGAUGAGACUGGAGAGAGCGAGCAGAGGAGCAGCCUCGGGCUGGAGAAAGGCAAAGGGACCAACAUGGUGUCACCAGGGCACCUGUGAGGAACAGAAUGGACACUUGGAGGCCACGUGGAGGAAAGGGAUGGACAUCUCUGUCUUCAGCACACCUCCAGUGGGACCUACCUGUGAAAGCUUUCCUUCACUUCUGCAGUUGCAGCUGGAUCCCUGAGAAACUCCAAACUCCAUCCCACUGAUUUUCAGGAGCUUCUGGCCUCCUCCUGCCCUGCGCUCCCAGCCAGCUGGGACACACCGAGGGAACACCAAGGAGCAUCGCUGGCAGCGAGCAGGAGACACCGAGGCCUCUGGGCCAGAAGAACAGCCCUGGCCUCAGCAGCCACCAUCACUUUGACCGGGUAACACUCACCUGCAGGAAACGCCCCCUGGCACUCUCCAGAAGAGCUUGGGCCACAGAGCAAGGUGACCCUCAGGACUUGUCUUGUUUGCUUCUUCCUGGGGAAACACAGGGACAUUGCAGGAGCACAUGUACAGCUGCUGGGUAAAUCCUGGAGAGGGCAGAAAAGUCAGGGUUAUGGGGAAGAGUUGGUGCUGGCAUGCUGAGUGCCAGCCAGUUCUGCCCUACAGCCAUUGCAGGGGCUGGUGUGUAAAGCAGCAUUAGCAGAAGGGAAGGAGCUGCAUUUGUAGAGGAGUUCUCUUACUGGCAGCAGUCAUUCCCAUCCCACACAGGACCUUUGGAACAACCCUGGGAUUGGCUCAGGUGUUUGGAGCAGAG